ACUAUGGCCUCAGAUCAGAUGUGAUGACCCGCUGAAUUUAAACAUAUUACUAAGCGGAGGAAAAUAAACUAACCAGGAUUCCCUCAUUAGUGGUGAGCAACGAGGGAAGAGCCCAGCGCUGAAUCCCUGCCUGGCGGCUGGUGUGUUAAAUGUGGUGCACAGAACACUGACUCCCUGGUGUUACUCAGGGGGUCCAAGUCCUUCUGGCCGAGGCUCACCCUGUGGACGUUGUUAGGCCAAUAGCGGCCUUCAGCGUGCUGGGAUCGGGCCUUCUCUGAGACAGGUUGCUUGGGAAUGUAGCCCAAAGCAGGUGGUAAACUCCAUCCAAGGCUAAAUACAGACACGAGACCGAUAGCCAACAACUACCGUAAGAGAACGUUGAAAAUAACUUUGAAGAGACAGUUCAAGAGGGUGUGAAACUGUUAAGAGGUAAACGGGUGGGGUCUGUGCAGUCCGCCCAGAGAAUUCAACACAGUGGGCAGGUCGGAUGCCCUGAACUUCUGGUCCCGUUUUGUGACCACUGCCUGGUGCACCCGGCCCCUCCAAGGGUGCAUUUCCUUUGUGGUGGAGCACUAUGGACGAUUCCAGCGUGGCUGAGAAGGCCCUGAAUUGCAAGGGGCUCUCCUCUAAAAUGGAGAGUGUUACAGCCCCUUGGCAGCAGUUUUGCUGUGUUAGCGGGGCCGAGGGAGAUUGACCACUGCCAUGCCCAAUCUCCGGCUCACCAUCCCGCCCUCUCUGAGGUGUGGCGAUGAGGGACGGGACCUCCUGCUCCCGGUGCAACUGUCGAUUGGAGUGAACUGUCCACAGUGUGCCCUGACCAGGUUGCGCCGCUUGGUGGCGAGGCCCACAAAGGGGUAUUCAGCGAUGUUGGGUUGGUUACCCACCCGACCGGUCUUGAAACGCGGACCAAGGAGUCUUACAUGUGCGCAAGUCAGAGGGCUGAACAAUACCCAGUGCUGCAAUAAAGGUGAGGGCCGGUGCGUGCCGGUGAGGUGGGAUCCCGUCGCCGCAGGCACACCACCGGCCCAUCUGGACUGCUCUGCCGGGUAGCUGGAGCAUGAGUGUGUGUGAUAGGACCCAAAAGAUGUUGAACUAGGCCUGGACAGGGUGAAGCCAGAGAAAUUGUUGGUAGAGGUCUGUAACUGUAACGGUCCUGAUGUGCAAAUCGGUCGUCCAACCUGGUCUAGGCACAAAAAGACUAAUUGAACCAUCUAGUAGCUGGUUCCUUCCGAAGUUUCUCUCAAGAUAGCUGGCACUCAGAAACUGCAGUUUUGUCUGUUAAAGUGAAUAAUUAGAGGUCUUGGGGCUGAAUCGAUCUCAAACUAUUAUCAAACUUUAAAUGGGUAACAAGCCAGGCUCGCUGGCGUGAAGCCGGGCAUCAAAUGAAUGUGUCCAGUGGGUCACUUUUGAUAAGCAGAACUGGUGCUGCGGGAUGUACCAAACUCAGGGUUCAGGCACCGACGCUCAACAGAAAAGGUGUUGGUUGAUAUAAACAGCAGGACGGUGGCCAUGGAAUUCGGAAUCCGUGAAGGAGUGUGUAACAACUCACCUUCCCAAUCAACUGGCCCUGAAAAUAGAUGGCGGAGGAGCAUUAGGCAAAUACCUGCCUGUCGCUGCUGCCGAGAACCGCGGAGGCAAAGCUGCGAUGAGUAGGAGAUCUGUUGUGGUGCACAGAGAAGCCUGAGUGAGGGCCUCUGUGGAGCAGCUGCAGGUGCAGAUCUUGGUGGUAGUGGCAAAUAUUCAAACGGGAACUUUGAAGGCCAAAGUAGAGAAGGGUUCCAUGUGAACAGCAGUUGAACAUGGAUCAGUCGGUCCUAAGAGAUGGGUGAGAGCUUUGCGGAAGGGACGAGCGAUGGCUUCUGUUGCCCUCAGCCAAUCAAAAGCUAGUUGGGUUCAGAUCCCCAAACCCAGAGUGGUGGAGAUGGAUGUCUAGUGCGGUAACGUAAAGAUCCUAGAGAAGCUGGAAGGAGCCCCCCGGAGGGUUCUUUUUUCUUUGUGAAGGGCAGGGCACCCUGGAAUGAGCCCACCCCAAGAGAGGGGUCUGAGCCUUGGAAAGCGUCACGGUUCUGGUGGCUUCCGGUGAGCUCUCACUGACCCUUGUAAAUCUGGGGGAGAUGGUGUGAAUUUCACACCGGCCGUAUCCAUAUCCGCAGCAGGUUGCCAAGGUGAACAGCAUCUGGCAUGUUGGAACAAUGUAGUUAAGGGUAUUCCGCAAGUUUGAUCUGUAACUUUGGGAUACGUAUUAGUUCUAAGGGUUGGGUCGGUCGGGUUGGGGUGCGAAACGGGGCUGCCGCAUUCCAUGGCCGGACAAGGCAUCCCCCUCGGGUGGCGGCACAGACUCUAAAUAUGAUCCGGGCCUUCCUAUGGAUCCUAGUUGUUUGGGGGCCUUCUUCCUGACUUGACCGACUCCUGGCAGCUGACGCAAUGUGAUUUCUGCCAGGGCUCUGAAUGUCAAAGUGAAGAAAUUAAAUUCAAUGAAGUGUGGAUAAAUGGCAGGAGUAACUAUGACUCUCUUAAGGUAGCCAAAUGCCUCAUCAUUUAGUGACAUCAUGAAUGGAUGAACGAGAUUUCCCACUGUCCCUAGCAGAAUCAGUGGUAAACAAAGACCUGGGUGAGCUUGACUCUCGUCUGGCACUGUGAAGAGACAUGAGAGUUGUAGGAUAAGUGGGAGUCCCUUAGGACGCUGCAGAAUACCACAACUCUUAUUGUUUUUUCACUUACCCGUUGGUGCAGGGGGCGAGCCCUCUGGGACUCUUGCUUCUGGCUCCAAGCCCUUGGUGCCCGCUAAGUGUGACCCACUCCGGUGACAGUGGUAGGUGGGGAAUUUGACUGUGGAAGUACACCUGUCAAACGAUAAUGCAGGUUUCCUAAUGCAAGCUCAUAGAGAGCAGAAACCUCCCACUGAGCAAAAGGGCAAAAGCUUGCUUGGUCUCAAUUUUCAGUAUGCAUACAGAUCAUGAAAGCAGGGCCUCACGAUCCUUCUGACUUUUUGGGUUUCAAGCCGGAGGUUUCUGAAAAGUUACCAUAGGGGGUAACUGGCUUGUGGCAGACAAACGUUCAUAGCAACGUUGCUUUUUUAUACUUCUAUGUCAGCUCUUCCUAUCAUUGUAAAGCAGAAGUCACCAAGUAUUGGAUUGUUCACACCCUAAUAGGAAAUGUGAGCUGAGUUUAGACCGUUGUGACGCAGGUUAGUUUUACCCUACUAAUGAUGUGUUGUUGCAAUAGUAAUCCUGCUUAGUACAAGAGGAACCACAGGUUCAGACAUUUGGUGUAUGUGCUUGGCUGAGAAGCCAAUGGGGCGAAUCUAUCAUCUGUGGGAUUUUGACUAAACGCCUCUCAGUCAGAAUCUCCCCUAAACAGUAACUGUUGAGCCUCAGUUGGCCUUAGAACAGCGGGCCUCUGGGCCGGUGCAUAGAGUCGCUCGCCGUGGGACUCGAGUGUGGACAGAAGAGGGCCGGCUCUCUCGCCCAUAGUGCACCACAUGUUUGU
rnacentral:rRNA from 1 species